UUCCCCCCGCCAAUAAUGGUAUUUUUUAAACCUAAAUCAGCUGUUGUUUGGGGGUGGGGCAUGAGGUGUAUGAGGUCACAGCGGCUUUGCACAAGCCACCUCGUUCUGGAGGCCCGUUUGUUAAAAGGCGGAGGAGGCCCCUCAGGCUCCAGGUGCCUGUGUUCCAGCUGAGCCCUGCUCGAGGUGGCCUCUGGAGUGAGGAGAAACACCUUCACGGAAUCGCAGGGUCCUUCGGGUUGGAGGGACCUCUGGACAUCAUUGCCAUGGCAGGGUCAGCUGCUGCAGGUGACACAGGAGCAUGACUGCUGGGUUUUGAAUGUCUAUAGAGGGAAACUCCACGACCUCCCCAGGCAGCUGCCACUCUCAACGUAAAAAAGUUCUUCAUCA